CAAAAUUGUAAUCAUGGUUUUGCUUGACUUGCUAAUCUCUAUGAUGGCUAAGGAACUUUUUUGCUGACUU